UUAAGCAUAUCAAUAAGCGGAGGAAAAGAAACCAACAGGGAUUACCUUAGUAACGGCGAGUGAAGCGGUAAAAGCUCAAAUUUGAAAUCUAGCACUUUCAGUGUUCGAGUUGUAAUUUGAAGAAGGUAUCUUUGGAGUUGGCCCCCGUCUAUGUUCCUUGGAACAGGACGUCACAGAGGGUGAGAAUCCCGUGCGAUGGGGAGACCAAUUCUAUGUAAAGUUCCUUCGAAGAGUCGAGUUGUUUGGGAAUGCAGCUCUAAGUGGGUGGUAAAUUCCAUCUAAAGCUAAAUAUUGGCGAGAGACCGAUAGCGAACAAGUACAGUGAUGGAAAGAUGAAAAGAACUUUGAAAAGAGAGUGAAAAAGUACGUGAAAUUGUUGAAAGGGAAGGGCUUUUGAUCAGACUUGGUGUUUAGUACUCUCUACUCCUUGUGGGUGGGGCUCUUGCUUUAUACUGGGCCAGCAUCGGUUUGGAUGGCAGGAUAAUAGCAUUGGAAUGUGGCUUCAUUCGUGAAGUGUUAUAGCCUUUGUUGAUACUGCCUAUCUAGACCGAGGACUGCGUCUUUUGACUAGGAUGCUGGCGUAAUGAUUAAAAGCCGCCCG
rnacentral:rRNA from 1 species